GACUUUGGGUAUUUCAUACAAGUGGAAUCAUACAGUAUUUGUCUUUUUGGGACUGGCUUUAUAUUACUUUAAGAUAAUGUCCUCAAGGUUCAUCCAUGUUGUAGCAUGGGUCAGAAUUUCCUUCCCUUUUAAGCCUGAAUAAUAUCCAAUUGUAUUUUGUGUACCCAUUCAUCUGCUGUUGGAGCUUGGGUUGCUUCCAUCUUUUGGCUAUGGUGAAUAAUACUACUGCAAAACUUUUUUCCUCCCUGUGGCAAUGUAUUAGAGUCCUCUAGAGAGACAGAACCAAUAGCCUAAGUAGAUGGAUAGAUAGAUAGAUAGAUAGAUGAGAGGGGAUUAUUAGGGGAAUUGGCUCAUGUGAUUAUGGAGGCUUCUGCAAGCUGGGGACCCAGGGAUGUUGGUAAUGUGGCUGUAUCCAAGUCCCAAAGCCUCAGACAGCCUGGGAUGAGGGCGGGAGGGGUGGCUGAUGUAAGUCCUGGAGUCCCAACGCACGGUCCACUGACUCACUCACCGAUCUCCCUUGAAAACGCUCUUACAGACACAUCCCCAAAUAAUGCUUUAGCAGUUCUCCACGUAUCCUUUAAUCCAGUUAAGUUGACUCCGAACAUUAACCAUCACAGGUGGUGUAGACUAUUCCUAUCUUCUUGCUCAUGUAAUUCUCAGAUUAGAGCCUCUUGGAUAAGGAAGAACGCUGGCUGCCGUCCUGUAGUGACGCAUUUUUGCUUCCUGUUUCCUAUUUUCCUGCAUGUUUCACUACAUGAAUUAUCUCCUGCUUACGGGGACUGGUGUCCAAGACCCCCAUGAAUAUUGCGGUUGCACCUGUGUUCCAGUCCUCUUUAUUCAGGGAAAUAUUUGCGAACCGUGCUUACUGCUUAAAAUGAAAGCUUGGGAAUUGGCUGCUUGGGUUGGCUUGACCCCCCAGCAAAGAAAAAUAUAAAAAAAAUGAGACAAACUUUAAACAAGCCACACUGCUACAUGUCUCAGACACGUCGGGGAAAUGCAGCUUCCUCUACCCGGUGCCAGGCUACACGCUGCCAUUCGAAUACCAACUUGCGCGUCGUUUUAGAAGGAGAGGCCCCGGCGGUGCCAACUCUGUGACUCAGACUGCAUGUGGCAGCCCCAGUGCUGUUACACAGAAUUCAGAGAUCCCAGGAUUGAUUUCUUUUCUUUUCUAAAUCUGAAGACCAGGGUUCCUUUGAGGUAUUAAGUCCUGGGCACCAGCGUUCGCAGAUGCAAUACUGCUCGGGGGAGAAGCACUUUGUUGCUGAGCCUCCCAAGUACUCUGAGCCUUCUCUCCCCCUGCUGGUGAGACCAGAGAAGUGUUUCUAACAUUACUGAAACCAAGCAAAAUCCUCACUCCUUUGAAUCCUGCUGCGGCAUCUGGGGUCAUCCUUUUGUUUACUGUGUAUUUGCUUUUGACCUUCAGUAGGUCCUAACGGCAUAGCCAAAACAAAUAGUAGGACAUCAAACAAACAGAUGCAAAACAACACAAAGUUUUAAAUCAUUUCCAGGUACCACCACCCUGCAAGGCAAUGCGGCCAUGGGCUUAUAAGGUGAUUUUAUCUGAGAAACCAACCGUGUUCUAUAUACCUUAUGCCAUACUAUGUCACGUCAUAACAUGCUUUAUGGCGCUUUUCUUUUGUGCACCCCCUUCCUCCUCCAUUUUCACCAUGAUGGAUUAAGGGACAGGCAGAGGAGGGACUGGGGUGCCUUUUGGGAAGGCUAGUGGGGGCCCCAGACAGGCAGCCUGUCUGUGGGGACAAAGAGUAAAAGACCUGGAGGAUGAAUGCUUGUCACGUGGAAAGUCCUCCGUUAUGGUUAUCAGAAGAAUAAAUGAGUAAAGGAGAAGUGUCCCCAUGGCCAGAGAUAUAAAUUGGCCAUCAGUAUCUUGUAUUAAUUUCAUUAUGCAGACGGGGAAUCAUGGCAGCCGUGGUCACUGUUUGCAGUGGUCUAGGGAGGGAAAAGUUGGCAUGCUUGAUCACGGCUGCUGUCUGCUUCACCCAUCCUGGCCCUCACGCAGUGUCGUGGAGCAGAGGUUGUUCACGGUACAAACAGGUGACCAGCAAUGAGGACAUGCCUGUUCCAAUGGAAAAUCCUUAUAAGGAGCCUCCUAAGAAAUGUAUCUUGUGUGGAAAACGUGUAGAUUAUAAGAAUGUAUAGCUUUUGUCCCAGUUUAUUUCUCCAUUUACUGGAUGCAUUUAUGGAAGACACAUAACAGGUCUUUGUGGGACGAAACAGAGAGAAAUCACAAAAGGGAUCAAGAGAGCUCAAAUACUGGGGUUUAUGCCAGUUACAUACAAGGAUCCUGUGUAUCUCAAAGACCCUAAAGUUUGCAACAUCAGAUAUCGGGAAUAAAUUACAUAACAUGACCACCAAUAAACUUAUUUUGCAGUAAGUGGUUGCAUGAUGCCAAAAAAAAAAAAAAAUUGCAUUGCGCAGAUGGGGAGACUGAGCUAUUGAGAUAUGCGUUGAUUUGCAUGGGCUCAGCCAGCUAGCUGAUGCCUUCUUGACAUCAGAAAGAAGACUAGACGUUAUGUUUCCAAGCUCAGAGCAGAAUGCGUUUGUGUUAGAUUUAUGCACUUGCUGACUCGUUUCUCCUGAUGGGCACUUUGAUAAAUCAUUUCAAUUAGAAGCAGAUGUUAUCAUGGCAUACAUGGAGACAUGUCUUCCUGAGUUUCCAAACAGUAAGGUCGCUAUUUUAUGGUUUCCUGUCUGUGUGUGGGUCUGUGUUUGUACAGCCCUCCCAAAUAAACAAAUAAGCAAACAAUAACACUGAAAUGAGCUGCGGUGGCAUUUGAGUUUUCAGGAGGACUUAAGUAUAAAGUCAUAUGUAUUUCCCUAGAGAUGAUGGUCAGCCUUGCUUGGAAAAUAAGCAGGAAAGCUAAGAGCUUGGUUUGUUGUACAGAGUAAUCAGAAACCACUCACAUAGCAGUGGAAGUUUCUGGGAAUUUUGAUCUGGAAAACAAUAAUUAAAGAAAUCUUCUUGCCUUUAUGACAUCUGGUAGUAACCAUCACAUUUUGCGAACCUUGACUUAAAUGCGGAGAUUUUCUUAAAUCAUUUUUCUCAUUUAGUG